rnacentral:rRNA from 1 species
GACGAACGCUGGCGGCGUGCUUAACACAUGCAAGUCGAACGGAAAGGCCCUGCUUUUGUGGGGUGCUCGAGUGGCGAACGGGUGAGUAACACGUGAGUAACCUGCCCUUGACUUUGGGAUAACUUCAGGAAACUGGGGCUAAUACCGGAUAGGAGCUCCUGCUGCAUGGUGGGGGUUGGAAAGUUUCGGCGGUUGGGGAUGGACUCGCGGCUUAUCAGCUUGUUGGUGGGGUGGUGGCUUACCAAGGCUUUGACGGGUAGCCGGCCUGAGAGGGUGACCGGCCACAUUGGGACUGAGAGACGGCCCAGACUCCGACGGGAAGCAGCAGGGGGGAUUAUUGCAUGAGGGGCGGAAGCCUGAUGCAGCGACGCCGCGUGCGGGAUGACGGCCUUCGGGUUGUAAACCGUUUUCGCCUGUGACGAAGCGUGAGUGACGGUAAUGGGUAAAGAAGCACCGGCUAACUACGUG